CCUUUCUAGUGGGUUUAGGGUCUGAAAAACUCGGAUAUGGAUGUGUUGUCAUCAGCUUCUUCUCCUGUAUACUCACGAGAUUGGAGUUAAAUAACAGCACUACAAUU